rnacentral:hammerhead_ribozyme from 1 species
CUGCUGGUGAAGAGUCCCAAACUAGGACGAAACAGCUGUCCAGUAC